CCCAGCCUGUCUUCAUUUUUCUGCUUGAAAACUAGGCAUGACAGAAAUCUGUUCUAUCUUUAGGACAUCACGAAAAUGAAAUGACAUGCUCCAUGAGCCACAUGCCGUGGUGUAGAGGGUGCUGUACCGGCCGCUAAAGCCCCCGUAAAACCCGGAUGUUCCAGCUUCCUCUCCUGCCUUGAAGGCCUGAUGAAGAAAUGUACAUGAAGCACUUCAUAAGCUAGAAUGUUCUUUGGAAAUUAGAAAAACGCAAGACAGGAUCAUGGAUUAGAUUCAAGAGCUGAACACUGCGGCUACCUCCAGACCAUUCUCAUAGAUUAUACUGAAAAUUAAGCAUGCUCUGUUGUUGACGCUGUGGACGCAGGGCGGGAAGGGACCGUGGAGACUUCUGUGCACUCGGCCUGAGCUCCUCGCUGCUUGGUGAUCACUUAAAAAAUGAUGACCGGACUCUUUCCCAAUUGCCAAGUUCUUUUGCAUGGACAGCAUACAGUGUGAGAGACCACGGAUAAGAGCAUCAUUGUGCAACUUGAGUAAGAUGCUGGUUUACACUUUAAUGGCCAAUGUGCAUUUUCAGGAUUUUGCUAGAUAAAACCAUACCGUACUUUGUUCAUUAAAACUUGAUUUGGGAAAACAUGUAAAUCUUCUACAAAAUAA